CGCCACCUGGACAGCAGUUCUUCUACAAACCGACUCUUCUUCCCCUCGGUCCCCUGGAGGAGGUCGACGACGUACUCCCGGAUCUCGUCCUCGUUUGUUAUUGACAAGAUGUAGCUGCAAGGGGACGGAUGCAGAGAAACGGAGCUCGCCCCCUGCCAUCGGAUCCUGCGGAAGAUGGCACGUCCUCUGAAGAAGAGCAGGUGUGAUCUGACCCCGACUUCAAUAACACAGCGCGCCCUCUGUACGUGUAUAUA